CGUCGUUUAUUGGACCGAGCUGACCGAGUAGAUAGGUCGGUGUUGAAAUCUGUUAGUGAUGUUGUGCUUUGCACUAGCAUCGCCCAACUCUAAGAACAUGUAACUUAUUACAUGCUUUGAUUCCUGCAUGAGGUAAGUCUGUGAUAGUGUAAAUUGGUCAUAACCUUGAAGAUUUUACCCUUUUUAGGAAAAGGAUCAGCUCUGCGAGCUGACUGAGCAUGCCUAUGAGAGGUACAAGCUGAAGGAGGCCCUGGCUACCUCUGAUGCGAAUUUAGCCCUGCGCGACCAAGAAUUGGUCAAAGUAGGGGAUAGGUUGGCGGAGCUACAAAUGGAGCUCGAAACUCGAGAAGCCUGGAACUCCGAUCUGCAUGCACGUCUGCAAUUCUUUGAAACAGAGAUGCACAGGCUUCAGGCUGAGAAGGAAGCUGGCUUUACCUAUUUGAGAGAGGAAUACAUGGGGUAAUUGUGGGCGUAGGCUGCUAGGCUUCUAGGCUUACACUGCGGGGUGUCGGGAUCAGCGCAGGGAGAUAUUCUUGUCUCCCUAGGGUUAGCUGUUCCUAGACACCCUCAUUCAUGGAGCUUUGGAGGCCUACUGGCAUUCUCCUCAAUUCCCUACAGACUUUGAUUGGGGGAUUUGUUUUUAGUCGGUGAGUCCGGCUGGAAGGCCCUGGACCAGGUGGAGGCCACUCCAAAGCAGCGGAUCAAGCUUAAUAUUGCCGAAUUGAUCGACACCUUAGACUCUGAGAGGCUCUGGCAUGCGGCCGAUAUCGGCAUGACCAUUCCUGAGGACUUCGAGGAGUGGGUGAUCUCUGUUCUUGACAAGGCCUUGCGGGGGUUAGUCAACGGAGAGGACUCCGAGCCUCUGCUGGAAAAUCCUGUGUUCCGCACCCCCUUCCUCGACGAGCUGGAUGUUGCUCUGGUUACGUAUCUAUUUUAUAUUUUUGUGCGCGAAGUUUGACGCGUUGUGAUGCAGGGAUUAUUUUGAACAUAAAAUUCGCGGAAAUGGCAGGCGGCAAGGAGCAAGACUGCCGGAUAUUUGUUGGAGGUUUAUCUUGGGAUAUCACCAAAAGGCAGCUUGAAAUGAAGGCCUGAGACUUCGCUUUACAUUCGUGUAAUUCAAAUAUUUCUCAUCGUUUGUGUGAUUUUGUGCAUUUAUUGGUUGGAGGUUUCGUUGUGCCUCCUCUUUUUUUUUUGGCUUGGUUGUGGUAUAUGCUUUUGGAAUUGAAUUUUAGUAUUAAGUUUAAUGGAUGAUGUAAUAUUGUUUUUUUGUCUGGACUUACUUUUUAUUAUAUUUUUCUUUUCAUUAUAUUUUGUGUGUUAAUAUCUUUUUUGCCUUGUACGUGGCUUAAGAUUGUUGAAAUGCGUUGGUAAUGGGAUUGGAGUAACUUUGGGACCAUUGACAUAUCUAGGACUACUGAAGCAUAAGUUCAGUGUGUUUUGGCGUUUUUCUCUGUUUGUUUUCUUUCAAAUUAGUUAAUGCAUGACAGCUUUAGCAAUUCUACACAAGGAAUUCUGAGAAUUUUGGCAUGUUGAUCUUGCUGCUACUUUUCUCAUGGCACCUGCUUUGGAAUUCUCUCAACAAAUGAUAGGUUAGAUUAAGACUUUUCUCUGUUUGUUGAUCUUGCUGCUACUUUUCUCGUGGUCACCUCUAUGGCUCCAUGACGUAGUAUAUUUUUGUGAAGCAUUGAGUAGAUUUUGCCUUAUCAAUAUCCUUUCAAGAUUUUGUGAGAAGUAGGGCUUUCUGUUUAAUAUUAGCAUAUUCACUCACCUGCCAAAAGAAGUAUAUUUUUCAUUAUAUAACGUGCUCA
rnacentral:lncRNA from 1 species